UCUCUCUCUCUCUCGCUCUCUCUCUUCAAUAACUUUCCCGGGAAAGUGAAUAGAAAGGAAAAUCCAGAAAGAAAAAAAUAUCGGAUUUAGGGUUUUUCCCUGUGCAGGGAGAGUAUGUCUCAGACCGGAAAAUUGAUGCCCAAUCUCGACCAGCAGAGCACCAAAAUGCUCAACCUCACCGUGCUCCAGAGAAUGGACCCCUUCAUCGAAGAGAUUCUCAUCACCGCGGCGCACGUUACGUUCUAUGCGUUCAACAUCGAGAGCAGCCAAUGGAGUCGUAAAGACGUUGAAGGAUCUCUUUUUGUCGUUAAAAGGAAUACUCAACCGCGGUUCCAAUUCAUUGUAAUGAAUCGGCGUAACACAGAUAACCUAGUGGAGAAUCUUUUGGGAGAUUUUGAGUAUGAACUUCAAGUUCCAUAUCUGUUGUACCGGAAUGCAUCCCAAGAGGUUAAUGGUAUUUGGUUUUACAAUCCACAGGAGUGUAAGGAUGUUGGAAACCUAUUUACUAGGAUUCUUAAUGCGUAUUCAAAAGUUCCUUCAAAGUUAAAAGUAUCUUCAAGCAAAAGUGAGUUUGAGGAACUUGAAGCAGUCUCAACCAUGUCGGUGAUGGAAGGUUCUCUGGAGCCAUCAUCAUCUGCCACUGAUGCUCCCGAAGAUUCUUCCUUUCGAAACAUUUUUAGUGCAGCUACGAGUAUUGGAAACAGUGGUUCAAAUCUAGCGAACUCAAGACAGUCAGCACAGCCCGCCUACCCUUCUUCUGCAGCUAUCCCUUUAUCUUCUCAUUCACCCAGUGUUGUUUCUUCUCCUGCACCAACUCUACAAAUACCAUCACUCUCUCUUCUGUCUUCAUCUAAUCCAACCCCACUCCAAGACACUCUUGAUCCAAUCAGCAACAGCAAUCGGGGCACUAAUCUUCUGAAGCCCUCUUCAUUCUUUGCACCCCCUUCCUCGUCUGCAUUGAUAAUGCCACCCAUCUCUUCAUCUGUACCAACUGCUCCUUCACUGAAUUUGCAACGCCCAUAUGGCACUCCAAUGCCUCACCCCUUUCCACUAUCUACUCCACUAUCGUCUCUUACUCCUAGUUCUGCUUCUCCGAUUGAUGGACUGCUUAUUAGCAGAGACAGAGUACGUGAUGCACUUCUGGUGCUUGUUCAGGACGAUCAAUUUAUUGACAUGUUUUACAAAGCAUUGGUGAAGGUGCACCAUCCAUGAGUACCUUUAGAGAACUAGUGAGCUUCUUUCUGAAGAUUUUGCUGAGCCAAAAGUUAGGGUGACGAUUGGGUCUCCCAUUACAGGUUAUGGUCAGGAAAGCAGAGAUCCUGUUGUAUGCCAUUAUAUUCCUAACAAGAUUUGGACCGAUGAAGAUGGUGUAGAGCAUGUAGAGAUUAAUUUCUAUAUGCGCGGACCCCAUGGAGCUGGAAAAGUUUACACUGAGAUGUUCAAGGACCCAAUGAACAAGCAGUGGAAGUAUACGGAUUUGAUUGUUGUGAUCAUAUCACCAACUCUUUCACAAUUGAUUCUAGAGUCUUAUAUGCCGGCUUAUAACUUGGACACCAAGUAGUCAGAUUCUGACAAGGUUUCUUUAUGUACCAAAUAACAUGGAAAAAGUUACCAAUCUAGUGAUGUUAAUAGUUAUUCUUCUCAUUCUUAAUUUUAUGGGGAAACUUCCCAUACCGGCCGUAGGGGGUGGCCGAAACUACCUCCAAGCCUUUGGGGCUAGUCUGGCCACCCCCAAAAGCCCAAAACCAUGAAUGAAAUUUUUUUUUAAAAUAAAAAAAUAAAAAAAUAAUAAUUUUAAUGCCCAAAACGACGUCGUUUUGGGCUGGGGUGGGUGUUGUAGUUUUGUGGUGUUUUCGAAAUUUCAAGUGGACUGGAUGAGAGUAUAAUGGACAUAAAAUGUCAAACCGUUUGAAUUGAAUGUUGAAAACUAACAGAGGAGUUCAAAGCGAUAGAAAUUGAAAGUUUAGGGGUAUAAAGUGAGAGAUUUGAAAGUUCAGGAAGGUUUGCAAAAUCAGCUGGAAGUUCAGGGGGCCAAAGUGAAGUUUUUCCUAUAUAUAUAUAUAUAUAUAUAACUCUUUGGAAAGUGCUGAGUUUGAAUUUUGAAGUCCAAUUUUGUAUUUACUAGCAAGAAGAAUUGUGAUGAGAAUGUUUCAUACUUUUGUUGCGUAUGUAUCAAGUUGGG